rnacentral:rRNA from 1 species
UGGGGAAUAUUGGACAAUGGGGGCAACCCUGAUCCAGCCAUGCCGCGUGAGUGAUGAAGGCCUUCGGGUUGUAAAGCUCUUUUGGCGGGGACGAUGAUGACGGUACCCGCAGAAUAAGCCCCGGCUAACUUCGUGCCAGCAGCCGCGGUAAGACGAAGGGGGCUAGCGUUGUUCGGAAUUACUGGGCGUAAAGCGAGUGUAGGCGGUUGCCGUAGUCAGGUGUGAAAGCCUUGAGCUCAACUCAAGAAAUGCACUUGAUACUGGGUGACUAGAGGACCGGAGAGGAUAGUGGAAUUCCCAGUGUAGUGGUGAAAUACGUAGAGAUUGGGAAGAACACCAGUGGCGAAGGCGGCUAUCUGGACGGUUACUGACGCUAAGACUCGAAAGCGUGGGGAGCAAACAGGAUUAGAUACCCUGGUAGUCCACGCCGUAAACGAUGGGUGCUAGACGUUGGCGAGCUUGCUCGUCGGUGUCGCAGCUAACGCGUUAAGCACCCCGCCUGGGGGAGUACGGCCGCAAAGGGUUUGAAACUCAAAAGGAAUUGACGGGGGUCAUAGCUGUUUUCCU